AAGCGGAGCGUGUUGCUUAAUUCGAUGUACGCGAAGAACCUUACCUGGGUUUGACAUGUACGGGAAAAGCCACAGAGAUGUGGUGUCCUUCGGGGUCGUACACAGGUGGUGCAUGGCUGUCGUCAGCUCGAGUCGUGAGAUGUUGGGUUAAGUCCCGCAACGAGCGCAACCCUUAUUCCAUGUUGCCAGCGGGUAAUGCCGGGGACUCGUGGAAGACUGCCGGGGUCAACUCGGAGGAAGGUGGGGACGACGUCAAGUCAUCAUGCCCUUACGUCCAGGGCUGCAAACACGCUACAAUGGCCGGUACAAAGGGCUGCGAACUCGCGUGAGCAAGCCAAUCCCACAAAGCCGGUCUCAGUUCGGAGUGAAGGCAGCAACUCGCCUUCAUGAAGCUGGAGUUGCUAGUAAUCCCGGAUCAGCACGCCGGGGUGAAGACGUUCCCGGGCCUUGUACACACCGCCCGUCACACCACGAAAGUCGGCAACACCCGAAGACGGUGGCCUAACCGUAAGGAAGGAGCCGUUGAAGGUGGGGUCGGUGAUUGGUGUGAAGUCGUAACAAGGUAAACCGUAAGACUG
rnacentral:rRNA from 1 species